UUAGUAGGAUAAAUUCUGAUUAAAUAGGUUGGUAAGUGAAAUUAGUAGGAUAAAUUCUGAUUAAAUAGGUUGGUAAGUGAAAUUAGUAGGAUAAAUUCUGAUUAAAUAGGUUGGUAAGUGAAAUUAGUAGGAUAAAUUCUGAUUAAAUAGGUUGGUAAGUGAAAUUAGUAGGAUAAAUUCUGAUUAAAUAGGUUGGUAAGUGAAAUUAGUAGGAUAAAUUCUGAUUAAAUAGGUUGGUAAGUGAAAUUAGUAG